rnacentral:tRNA from 1 species
CAGUUGGUAGUUUAUAAAAAAUUUUAUUUUUGGGGAAUAAGGAUCUACGGUAUUUGUUGCUAACUGA